rnacentral:lncRNA from 1 species
UGGGGAUAUAGCAGAAAACAAAUACCUGGGUAUGAAAUAAUCUGUACAACAAACCCCCAUGAUGUGAGUUUACCAAUAUAACAAACCUGCAAUUCAAUUACCCCCUUCCCCCGGUCCCUCCCACAACACACGGGAAUUCUGGGAGAUACAAUUCAAGUUGAGAUUUGGCUGGGGACACAGCCAGACCGUAUCAACUGCGAAUAUGACAGCUUUUGUGCUAGUUUUGGGCCUAGGCUCAAAAGGUCUUAAAUGCUUCUGUGUUUCUCAGAACCUUGCUAUCUUUGUGAGAUCAAGCUAUCAGAACCUUGCUAUCUUUAUGAGAUUAGCCAGCUGGAGGAUGACAUACCGUGGUGGGGAGAAGGAAGGUGCCACUGUUGAUAGCCAUCUCAUCCCCAGAGGCAGAGCCACCUAGUCAACCAGCAGCUGGCCAUACAUACAUGAAGCAGUCCAGUUGUGACAAG